rnacentral:piRNA from 1 species
UGUGAUCCUAGGUUGAUGGAUGGACC